AAAAAGCUGAAAAAGAACUACACUACCUAGAAAGCGGCAGAAUCCUACCCUUCUAAUCUCCGAGCACUCAUAGGCAUAGAUAUAUACACACGGUCACAAGGCACAAGGAGAGGAGAAUUUGGAGGAAGACAAUUGAGGGGAACAAAGAUAUAGUCGAAGAAGAAAAAGCAAAGAAAUAGGAUCCUUCUUUUUCUUCCAAUAUCCAAAAUAGAGAUCUCAUCGCCACCACAUUUGAGAAAUCAUAAUCACAAAUAGUAAUAAUUCACUUCAGCUCCUCAAUUUCGUGCGAGGUUUGGUUCAAAGCUCGAUCAAGUGGGGUAAGGUUCAAGGUCGCCGAUGAAGUUCACGGUCCAUGAUUCUGUCCCUAUUGUUAUUUUUCGAUUAAAUAUAAUUCACUGGAGUUCAUUGUAAUCGAGCUCCGUCAAAAGAAAAGGGAAGCUUCUUGCUGUAAAGGUCCAUCUCUCUAACAUUUAUGUUUAUUUCAUUUUACUACUCUACUUUAGUUAAAUGCUUUAAUUCGUAAUAAUGAAUCAAUAAACUGAUAAUGAUAGUCUAGCAUUAUAACCUUGACUUAGAUCUUUAAAGGUCUCGUAGCUUAUCUAAUAAAUGAAGUCUUUAAAAAAAUGCAUUAGGACGGGAGAUGUGGGGCUUAGGUGAACGUAAAACAUAGACCUCAAAAUAUUUUCUUUCUCCCUUUUCUUUUAUUGUUUGAUCACUAGAAGCAUGUUUUAGGCUCGAUAAGAUAGGUAGGUAAACCUUUUAGGCCCGUAAUUAAAUUAUCAUAAUUAUGGGUAUGGUGGUGUGGUUGUGAUAAUUACUUCAAAAUUAGUUUUAAAUAUGAACAUUUGUAGUCUGCUUUAUUCGAGUAAAACCCUUUGAAAUAAUUCGAGGCGUGCCAUGCUAAAUAAAAUUCCAAAACCCAUGACCAUCACUUAAUUAAUUUUAAUUCUUAGAAACUGAGACGUGUCAUUUGGCGAAUUUUUAUGGCCCUCAAAAAGUUGCGAACGCGUUAAUUGCUUAGGCGCAUAAUUUAAAAUUACUUUCCUAACGGAUUUGCAUUUAUGUGACCCAAAUCCAAAUCUCAAUGUUAGUUAAAACAUGUCGAAGACCACGGGUGCAUUUAUGUGACGUGGUUCAAGAUAUAUUUUAACAACGUUGUAAUAUUUCUAAAAUGAAUAAAAGUGGUAAAUAAUUUAAAAUUACACUAUAGGAUGAGACAUGUAAUAAAAUAAGAUAUUAAGCCAUUUCUAAUAGUUUAAGCGACCUCCAGGAAAACAAGGUAAUACAUUUCAAGUUUCAAGUAUUGGUAAUCAGGCGCCCACCUGGAGAAUUAGGGAAAACAUUUCAAGUUUCAAGUUUUGGCAAUCAGGCGUCCACCUGGAGAACAAGGGAAUACAUUUUUGGCAAUCA
rnacentral:lncRNA from 1 species